CUAAAGAUGUUGUUGUAAACGGUAUCCUAAUAAACGUAACAUAAUUUUUAUACACGAUAACUUGGUACAGUUGUUACCACCACGAGCAUUAAUUAAAAUAAUUAAAUUUCAUUCCUUUGAAAUCGCGGGAUGUGAUCAUUCGUCGUAUCGGAUUUACAGCGAUAUCGGUUGGCUCAGCUCACAUUCAACACGUAUAAAACUCGAGUAAACCAGAAGAACGAUUACGCUGAACGCGUAUGGUAAACACUCCACGAUUUUCCCACAAAUUUAUACCGCCUGGUCGUAAACAUCGAGCAAUUCCUUUUCUAUCACUAUGAACGCCGAUGAAUUGUCGGUUCACGUAAGAAGCGCGAGUGAAACUCUGUCGGUGGUGCGCGCACAGUAGAAAAAGUCGUACGAGAACGCCUUUCCGUCGGUGGCUUUAAACCGCGAUGUCAGUGCACAUUUCUGAACGGGUGGCGCUCAGCCCUCCCCCCACCUCUUUUUUCUCUCUCGGUUUCCCCUGUGUGCAUCUAAAUACCGUUAUCGCGAUAAACGUGGUUGCAGUGAUUUCGAGCGAAAGAUUAUCCAGACGGAUGUACGUUCGUGAUACACCGAUUCUCGUUCAAAUUCAAGCUAUUAAGACAGACACGGGCGUUUGCAAAAGAUGACAGCAGGAUUCACAGGCAGCACCGUGUCUCGUGUGCGCGAUGCAGCGCACGAAUAGUGGGGAGAAUGAAAGAGGCAGUGAGCGGGGUAAUGGUGAAGGGAACGAGAGAGGAAGGGAGGAAGGGGAAGGUAGAAAGUGGGGAGGUUAAAAAGAGAAGAGGGGGACGACGAGGAAGGUAGAGAGGAAGAGCGAGGAAGAAAGAGAAGACAUUGACCGAACGAGCAGCCGCGCGACAAGGCCUCCUUUGCCGUGCCAGGCCAGCUGGAAGGAACGAAGCCCGAACCCUGACUUCUCUUUCUCGGCUCUGGGUAUUACUUUCCUUUUCUGAUAACCAUGUACCCACUAACGUUCUUCUCUUUUCUUCUCUCUUUUCCCCCCUCUCCUUUUGUACGGUUGGCUACCAAAGAAACGAUGGGAAAAAGCCACUAGAGCUCGCGGUGUAAAAAACUACCACCUAGCCAUACUCCACCUGCGCACGUGUGCCAACUGCGAAAUGAAACCCCCUAGGAUUUGUAUCGCGGUCGGAUUACAUACACUCCGUAUCUUAGACGAAUUAAUUGAAUAAACGGAGACUUGAGAAUAUACAUAUACAGGAAGUAGUACAUAAUUAUAUUACCUCAAUAUGCGCCCAUACACAUACAUAUAUUUAGCGUUGAAACUGAUACCAUUGCCCAUAUUAAAUAAUAUCGAAAAAGGAAGUGUUAAAAAGUAUCGAUAUCUGUUAGUUCUACGCAAGAAUCGAUUCUAUUGCAUACAGUAUUAGUUUCAUAUCGAUCGAAGAAAAAUCGAUAUCGAUAAUUGGUACCAAGUAAAAUUUCGAUAUGUAUCGAUUCUUUUUAUUGAGAACUUUGUUAUCGAAUCGUUUGGAAGUUAUCGAUAUAUUUAUAUAUGUUUCGAUAUUGAAAAGACUGUUCGAUCGAAAUAAUUUAUUGCGAGUACAAGCGAAGUAACAAUACUUUUGUUAUAAAUUAAUGGUAAGUAAGCAAAUCUUCGACUCAAAAAAGAUAAAAGUAUUUGGCAGUGCGGGAGGUGAAGUUCCUCGACACGGGACGAGUAAAGGAAGGUCGUCCCCAGACGUGCGGACGUUCCACCGGUCGGCUACUCCGUGCUUUGGCUAGCCGGCUACUAAACUCGUCUGUACAACGUUGCCACGUCUAUUCGUUCGGUGUUGACACGAUCAGACUCUAAUUCAGCUACUACUCACAGUUCGUGUAUGCUCAGUCGCGACGUUAAUGUGCGAGCCGUAUGCACCAUUUGUACUGCUACUGAUUAUCGAUAAAUUAUCAAUAUCAUAUCGAUACUCCCCGAUAUAUCGAACGUAACAUGUAAUUCUAUUAACAUCAAUUUAUUUUUGUUUAAACUUCAAACAUAACCUGAUAUCGGUACUUAAUAUGUACACGGUUCGAACAAGUAGUAGAUUGACACAAUCAUAUAAAUUAUUUCAGUCAUUUUAUGCCAUGAAGGCAAACAUUCAUGGAGUAUUUGAAAUCGAACAUUUUCGCGCGCAAUGGCUUCCCACCAAUCAGAAGCGUCAAAACUCCCCCAUUGAGUUUGACAGCCACGUUUCUUGUUUGACAAAUAUUAGCGCCAAGAUUAAGUAUUCUUCAUUCUCGUUAAUAACAGGCGGAUAAUAACAGUCAUUUGGAGAUCUGUUUGACGAAAAUUCCGGCUGCUUGCCAGUACCAAAUUGACGUGCUGAGCGUGAAACGACGCUGGCCAUGGUCCAAAAAUUAUUCGAAAGUAAACAUAUAUCACGGCAGCAUUGUUUAUAUUCGAAGGUGUUUAUAAAACAGACGUUCGUGAAUGUAAAGAUGUUAAUCAACGGGCGAGAACAUGACUAACUCUUGGCAGGAGAGAUUCUUAUCGGAGAUGAUGUAUUUUAACGCCAUUAAGUGACGCAAACUUCGAAUGGAAUGUGGCGACGAAAAAGAAAAAGAAAAUGCAAUCAACAUUUAAGUGUCAGCGUUCGUGUUUUGUCUAGUUGGUCCAACUGGCCAAUAAAGUUUAGUUCUACGAAAACAUGUUAGAGGGAGAGGUAGGCUAAAGGAAGAGGGCGGUGUUGCAAGAAAAAACAUAAAGAUUUAGCGAUGUAAAUACAACGAUAAAGAAACCAUUGGCUGCUACAUCAAAGCUUGCUUUUUUCAUCGAUUUACAAUAUUCCUAGCGGGGAGACACGUUUAUUCUACAAUAGGUGGAGGGAAAUGCAUUCCUUUCUUAGGAAAAAUGGCGCCCAUGGGAGUCUCUGUAACCAAGGAAGCCACCGUUGCACCCGAGUAUGCCAAGUACGCGUAAUUUAGAUGAUUUGAGAAUAAGUGCCGCCAUUAUCUCCGUUGUACGAUUAUUAUGGAUAAUGUCGGUCACGAUCACUUCCGCGUGAAAAUAAUUAGAUACAGUUUAGAUCAGAAAAAUAAAAUGUGGCAAGCAGUAAAUUUUGCACGAGUUAACAAGUAAUUGGAAACGUGUCGAAAUUAAUCUAUCUGUUACGUGACUGAAAAUAAACCAAUCCGAUGGAACGAGAUAAAAAAAUUAGAAUGCAAAUCUUUACGCUGCAUUGAGCAGCGUUUUAUUUAAUUAAGAGCAUUAUCGUUCACCCAGGUCUCGUUAUUGGGGUUUUAAAUAUAUACCGAAAAGCACAGACACGCGAUACGAGGACGAGUAUUUUCCUCCGUUUAUUAUUAAAAUAUUCCGCCUCGUUACGUGACUGCUGAUAUAGGAUACCAAUGUAUCCUGUAAUUCAGUGCGCGAUAGAAUUAUGUAUUCGUCGGUAAUCGAACGAAUUACAUAUUGCCUUCGAGUGUUUCAUUAAUUAGCGUAAAUCGAGCAAUGUAAAAUCCAAGCAGAGGUCCAACAAAUUCGUUGUCUUGCAUUUCCGUGUCCAUCACUUUUCAUCUUUAUAAGAAAUUUUUUUAUGCUAACCCUUUGCGCUCGAGAG